UAAGAGCAGUCAACGAGAGGGUUAAGACUUUAUACUCCCUUGUGCCCAACCCAUAUACGCUGCUAGCCUCUGUGCGGGGACAGUAUUCAUGUUUCUCAGUUCUUGAUUUAAAGGAUGCCUUUUUCACAAUUCUGGUGGACACAGGGUCCCAGGAAAUUUUCUCCUUUGAAUGGGAAGACGCAAACAGGAAUAAAAGGCAACUGUGUUGGACAGUGCUGGCACAAGGAUUUAAGAACUCCCCCACUCUUUUCUGUCAAGCUUUAUCCCUGGACUUGGAAGGAUGGGAAAAUGAGAACAAAGUCCUUCUCCUACAGUACGUUGAUGAUUUAUUAAUCGCAGCAGUGGGACUAGAAGUAUGUCUCCAGGCAACCGUACAUUAAGGACUCUCAGCCACUCCCUUUGGAUGCACCUGUCCAUUCCCUACAGCCAGAUGACUUCAUCCUUGUCCGUACCUGGAAGGACGAACCUCUCCAGGAGAAGUGGAAAGGACCCUAUCUCGUUUUACUGGUGUCCCACACGGCAGCUAAAGUAGAGGGACACAAAAGCUGGAUUCACUACUCCCGAUUAAAAGCUGUACCUCCACCGCAGAAUCCAGACCCCGAGCAGUGGACGGUCCAGCCUACUGGAACCAGAACAUCGGAAGAUUUGGGACUCAAGUUAUUGUUUAAACUCAAAUCACUCUAAUUUGGCCAUGUUUUUAAUACUUGUAUGGGUGUUUACUGUUUCUGGACAGUUGGCCGCUUUAUCUUUCCGCUCCCCAGAAAAUAACUGGUGGGCUCUUUUAGCUGCCACAGCCUCUAAUUCUUCUCACUUUUGUGUAGGGAGCGGUUACACUUUAGGGUCUGUAUUUACUACUUGUUUUGUGGGAGUAGCUAUGCCCUUGCAAGAAAUUCACAAAUAUACUAAACUUGCUGGUUUCAAUAUUAAAUUGACAGCUGGGCAUCUGUCUCAGUUUGGUUCUAUCUCAAAUCCUAAACCCUAUACAAACCAGCAUUGUCUUCAGAUUAGGCUAAUGGCCGUGUCCUCAAAUGUUAUUUCCUGUUUUGCUAUUGUAGGGGCACGGAAGGUUGAUACUAAUUUGACCAACCAUGAGAUGAAUUGUUCUGUUUCCCCAACCCCGACUUCUUAUUUUAAUGCACACUUAUAUCUUCCCCGUGGGUGGUUUUUGCUCUGUGGACUAACCGCAUUUACCUAUGUCCCAGUUAACAGUUCGGGAGGCCCUUGUUCUCUCGGACGAUUAACCAUGGGAGUUGUCCCUGGCCAUGCUCUAGUUUUAAAGACACCUGGACCUAUCCGAGCCCGGAGGGCUCGGCGUGGCCAGCCUCUGGAUGAAACAUGUGAUACUAAGGUAAACUUGGUGUCUAAAUCUCAGGCCAUAGCCCUUGCUACUUCAUUGGUCGGAGUCCCAGGCCUGGCCUUAGAUGCAGAGCUCCAGCUUGUUAAAGUGGCCUAUGCCCUCGCCAAAUCCAUUAAUCUAACUUCCAUUUUAAUCUCUGAUUUGGCCUCGGAACUCACAGGGGUCUGAGAAGGGAUACUCCAAAAAUCGAGCUGCAAUAGAUUACCUCCUCUUAAGGCAUAAUCAUGGCUGUGAGAAAUUUAAGGGUCUCUGUUGCUUUAACCUUUCUGAUCACAGCCAAAGCAUUGAAAAUAGACUGGUUAAGUUGCGUGACAUUGUCACUAACAUAACGCAAAAUAGUGACAAUAAUUGGUGGGGUUCUUGGGGUUUUGGUAAUUGGUUUGGGUGGCUUAAAAGCAUUUUUACCUCUCUGCUAGUAGUGAUAGCGAUUGGUUUGCUCUUCUGCUGUGGUCUGCAGUUAGGAGUGCCUUGUUGUAAAAGUUGUCUUUCUGCCCUCCGUCAGCCAACAGAAAUGUACCCCCUUAGGGCAGUCUCGCUGCCAAUAUCAGGUGGCUUGCCCUUUGACCUUAUUCUAAGUAAUGAAUAUGAGAAAACUCAACGAAAGACCUUUGAGUAUUCUCAAAGGGGGGACUGUUGGGGGGUGCAGGGCUCCAAGUAACUGGCAAUAUGGUGUGGGGUCAGAAGUUUACAUUCUCAGGCCUACGACUGCCUUUCGAGCUAAACAAUAUGUUCCUUUAAAGUUAGCAUGAGUACAUGUAAUCAUUUAUCAUUUUCUUGUGUUCUUUUGUUUAUGGUACAAGAUGUAAUCGAUCAAAGGGGGGAGGGUUAGUAGUAUGGGUUAAGGAUAUAGUUAAUUAAAAGAUCCAGUAGUUAAUGAAUUGUAAAUGAUGAAUUGUAGCACCUGUGAACAUCUUUGUAAACAAGUAAGGUAUAUAAGACAUGGCAAUGAAUAGUGAUGUGUGCAUGAUCUGAGAUUUUACAUCUCCUUGCACCUUAUUUGACUCAAAUAAAGAUACUUGCUUCUCCA